CCCUUAGAUGUCCUGGGCUGCACGCGCGCUACACUGACGAACUCAACGAGCUUAUCACCUUGGCAGAGAUGUCUGGGUAAUCUUUUGAAAGUUCGUCGUGCUGGGGAUAGAUGAUUGUAAUUAUUCGUCUUGAACGAGGAAUUCCUAGUAAGUGUGAGUCAUCAGCUCGCGCUGAUUACGUCCCUGCCCUUUGUACACACCGCCCGUCGCUCCUACCGAUUGAAUGGUCCGGUGAGGUUCUCGGAUUUUUCCUGUUGUUUGGUUCGCUAAACGAUUGAAGAGAGAAGUUACCCAAACCUUACCAUUUAGAGGAAGGAGAAGUCGUAACA
rnacentral:rRNA from 1 species